rnacentral:rRNA from 1 species
UACGGGAGGCAGCAGUGUGGAAUAUUGCACAACGGGCGCAAGCCUGAUCCAGCCAUGCCGCGUGUGUGAAGAAGGUCUUCGGAUUGUAAAGCACUCUAAGUUGGGAGGAAGGUCAUUAACUUAAUACGUUAGUGUUUUGACGUUACCGACAGAAUAAGCACCGGCUAACUUCGUGCCAGCAGCCGCGGUAAU